GCAAUAGGUAGUUGCACUGCCAGCCCCAAUAAUCAGGUGGCAGAUUCACCAAAAUCAAGAGCUCAUUGUAAGGAUGAUGAUAUUUUAUGGAAAGGAUUAGUAAUGAAUGGGUGUUUGUGUACAUUUCUGCUUUGUCUCCUUGACUGUUUAAAUUUCCUUACAAUUUUUUUUUUUUCAAAUUGCAGACCCCUAAGAAUCAUAUUUACAAGAAAUGAAAUACUAAUAUAUUUAGAAGAGAAAAAUUGAUUUGAUCCGUACAAACUACCAUGACUGCAAGGGCUGGGUUUUUCAGAGUACCAGGAAAUGCCAUGGAAGUCCCUCCAAAGUUGGAAGCAGCCACAGCGAGCUGGCACACGAGCGGUCCUGAACUCACACGGCACCGUGAGGGAUCCGUUCCCCUGGGGAGGAAGCGAAGGGAGGAGGACAAAGAUUGCAGCGUUAAGAUCAUGCUGUUGCUAUGCUGCCUACCCGCCCGUCAGCGCAUUUCUUCGCCAUCCUCCCACGGACGCUCGUCUGACUCCUGCCCCUGCAGCUGGUGCAUGCCAGGCAUCUCCUGACCUGGGCUGGCUUUUGCCUGCAGUUCUCCUGCAGGACUCUUGCUCGCCUCUCCCUGCUCCUGUUUCUCACAGUUGCUCCUAAAUGGAAGGCAAAGCCAAUAAUGGCCAGGCUGGAGGUGAGCUUUCAAACCCACAACAUUGGAGCAGGUUCAGAAGGAAACAAAUGGAGGCUGCUCGGGCAUCAUUUAGGAAAUGGCUGGAGACAGAUGGGCAUUUGGAGCUGAAACAAGAGCAGGAGAGCUGCAGACCUUGGGGCAGCAGGAGGGUUUUGUGCUGCUGCAGGGCAGCUGGCAGUGCUGGCUGGGGGUGGGAGGGGUGCUAGCAGCAGCCCCAGCUGCCCAGGGGAAAGCUGCCUUCCUCCUCAUCAUCAUCAUCAUAACCUGGGCACUGUGAUGGCAGGAGGUGGCAGUUCACGGUGACAGCUUUAUGAGCAGAUCUGUGCGCUGUGGUGAUGAGGCUUAGCUCCUGAAGAGCUCCAAAUGGGACUUUUAGAGGCUCUUAAACCAGCUGUGCAGUGUUUUCUGUUUCACAAGACCAGGUCCAGUCCAAUUUCCAGUGUGAGGACCUGCGUGUGAGUACGCCUGUGUGUGUGCCAGUACUGGAAGGGCUGCAGUGCGCUAAUGAUGAGGUUGUUAAGUGGAGACUGCUAGGGCUGAGGUGGCAGUGGAAGGUCGGGGCUGUGUCCUAACACUUAUCUCACCACGGGAGGUGCUCAGCUUCCUGUAUCCCAGGGCAAGUCAGCAGAAAGGCAGGCGUGUGUAUUUAGCUACAAUUUCCAGGUGCUGAAAAAUACAGACAAUAAAUAAGAUGCUGGAGACCUCCAUCCUCUUGCAUAUAUACCUGUAGUACGUGACCUUCAGCGCUAGAGCAGAUCACUUAGAGAUGGCAAAUAAAUGCAAAAUAUCUUCCUGCUUCACCUGGCCAAAUUUUAUUCAAGAAAGGAUUUAUCUGGAGAAACCAAAGGAAUGCAGUCGGUGUUUGGCUCCUGGGGGCACUUCGCAAGCCAGCCGUCUCUGAUAUCCCAUCCGUCUGCACCCCGGUGUUAAUUCUGGGAGUCACCCAUCACUUAGCCAAGCUAAGCCGUGCUGCAGCUCCAGCCUGUCCCCGCUGGCAGGACGCUCAGCUCUCCGUCUUGUCCUUGUCUUGCCUCUGCCUGCCUCGUGGCACGGAUCUCUGCAGAGCGGCCAGGCCGCCAGCAGCUCUUUCUCUUUGGGUUUGCACAGCCUUUUCCUUGGGAUCCAGGGGACUUGUUUGUAUUAACGUAAUUGGCAAACACAUUGUUCAAAUAUUAGCAGUGGCAGCAAAACCAUUGUGCGGGAGUAGUCGAGGCAAGCAGCCCCUCUGCUCGCAACAGUUAAAACCUGGAUGCUGUUGCCAGGCAUGUUAGGCGCUGAACACGAUCCAGAAAAGCUGUCCAGCUCUGGAGCUGGCUGAGCAGCUCCAGUCUUAGUCAUUAUUAAUGUGACUGGGGAUAAAACUACACAGAAAGCCACUUUCUGCAACCGAAAGCAUGUGAUGAAGCACUUGGCGUUACGUUCAGCCGCCCCUGGUGCGCGGAGCGAGUGAGCAGGAUGACGGGGGCUGUGCUGAGCCUCUUCAAAACCAGAGGAAAGUCAUAAAGGAAAAUGUCCUAAUGGCUUUGCCACUACCCCACAGUUGUGUAAGAUGUGCAGAAGGAGGUUUUCCAGGCACUUGUUGAACAGGACUUCGUGGGAAAGGUUUAUAGUGAUGAGCUGAAUUCCACGACCCCACUGAAUCAAUGGCAUUUUAUGCCAGGUACAAAUUGGGUCAGUAUUUUUAUGAUGAUGGCCUCCACUGAUAUACUGCUUGACUAAAAAAAAAUAAAGGAUAUAAAGUGAUCAUAAAGCUCGGUUUAUGCUUAAACAUAUGGACAUGUGAAUAAUGCAGUUCCUAUAUGACAAUAAAAAGGAUGGGAGGAAGGUCUUUUGAAUUCUUUAUUGAUGAAUUUAAUGUAGUGGGACAAUACCAAAUCAAUGGCAUGAUGAAGGGGCUGGGGUUGCCAGGCCCACAUCUCUGAUUUGGGCCAAUGCUACGGCUGAUGAAAGUGAGAAUUUUGGUCAUUAAAUAUCCAUCUUCCUCCUGAGACUCUGAGAAAGAAAAGUGCCAACAGGAUCAAAGAGAUCUCCAACUCGCAGUCAUUUACAAUGGAGUGCCAGUGAGAGGCAGCUGAGGAAAGCUGAUGGAUGAGGGUGCUGAGGAUUAAUAGGAAUGUUCUUGCAUAUCAGUGCCCCCUAUAAAAAAUCCUGACUACCUCCUCCUUCACCCCACUAUCCACCAAUACUAGCUUUCUUUGGUCUUUCAGGUAAAUCCCUAUUUCUUAGAAAUGUGAGUUAAGGGAGAAUCAUUUCUGUGUAAGAAAACAUGCAGUGUUGUUUUUUUUUUCUGCAGGUGAAGCUGAAAAACACACCCCAGCAUAGCCUGAAGAUGUAAAAGAGAGAAGACACAUAAACAAGAAUUCAGAAUGUAUUUAUAAAAACCUCAUGCAUUUUUUUCAGCUAUUCUCAUGCUGUUUGAACAUGUAAAGCUGGGCACGCUCUGGCUGCAGUCAGAGUAUCUCCUACGAUAACUCUGUUGGAGUUGAGAUGAGCUACAUAAGCAGACAAUUUGGCCCAUAAUUUUUCCUCAUGAUCGGCAAUUUAAAAAAUAAUCUCUGAAGGCAGUGGGUGUUUGAACGCUGUUGUCUCUGCUCAUGCUGUUGCUUUCCCUUACUGCUCCUGAACCCAGCCGGGUGCUGCUUGAAGCCCUGGCACUAUUGCAGCCUUGUCAAAGCACCCUGACCACACUUCUGCUUGACUUGGCCGAAACUGGAGUACAACACGAAUAAAUGCCUGUCCUCUCACUUUUCCAAACCCACAAGGAAUCAAAUCUACCCAAAGUCACCUCUGCUUCAGGUGUGUAACAGCAGUGCCAUGUCCUCCCUUCUGCUAUGGGGAAACUGAUGCUCAAAGGGGAUAUUGUUUUGGCAAACAAACUAAAAACUGAUCUAUAAGAGGGUUAGAGAUGUGAGCCCCAAACCAUAUAUCCUGCCCAUUCAAUUAAUUUUCUUCUAAACACCAAUCUUAGGCUUUAACCAAAAGCCUGUCCUUAAAUGAGAAGCAAGCAAACUCUGUGGUUUCAGCAAAGUGUUUCUGUUCAAACCAAAAAGCCUGGAGCUUUUGGUACAUUAUUGCAUUCAUUUAAAAACUGUUAAAAUUAAUGGGAAAGUGUAAGAAAACAAAAAUCAUUUAGGGAAGCUUUUUGUUUUAAUAUGUAUAAACUCAAAGAGAUUGAUGUACUGAUAUUUUUUCUGCACAACCGUUUUGUUAAUGAAGUAUUUUGUUGCUUAUUUACCUUUACAAAUAUCCAAGGACAGCUUCACCGCAGGGUUUGUUAUUCCCCAGCAAGCAGGAAGUUUGUGGUUUUAGGGAAAUGCUUUUAUUUAACGUUUAAAACAGAAUGCAGAUCUGAUUCACUUGCAGCAUUUCGCUCCAGUAUGAUAUUUCAAUAGAUCAAUAGGAUUGAUAGCAUGAAAAGUUAAAUAUAAACUCAAUUUUGUUGCAAAAUAGUUGAAGGAUAGUGUGAAAAUGCUCCAAAUUUUGUUUUAAGUCAAGAUCCCCCAGAUUUGGCAAUUCAUUUCAUGAUAAUGAUAUUUUGGGGCACAUUAUUCUCUCCCACGGGCUUCAGAGUAGGGCUUAUACCUGUCUACACCGAAGGAAAAUUUGAAACAAUUUCUGCAGCAUCGAUAUUUUCCAGCUGAUUUUUUUUUUUGAAUGCUGCUUUGCAAAUAUUUUGAUGGAAAAUCCCUAACAAUCUCCCACAAUUCAAUGAACUCAAUUGGAUUCCUUAAGUGAUAAAUUCAGAGAAUUGCAGCACCACAGAAUGGCAGGGGUUGGAAGGGACCCUAAAGGCCACCCAGUCCCAGCCCCGUGCCGUGGCAGGGAUGCCACCCACUAGGUGAGCUUGCCCAGGGCCUCAUCCAGCCUGGCCUUGGACACCUUCAGAAAUGGGGCAUCCACAGCUUCUCUGGGCAUCCUGCUUGCACCUGUGCCCAAGGGAAAUCUUUGCAUUUCGUAGCGUUCUUAUUCAGUUUGGGUCUUCCUUGGUUGUGGCCCUGCGUUGCCUCCCAGUUGUGCAGUUCCCACAGGUGACUGGUCGAACACAAGUGUCAUUUUGGCUGCUCCCUGUUCAUAUCUUGGCUGCUUAAUUAUGUCCUGCAGGUGGUGUCCUGGAGGGGUGCAGGGAGAGGAGAGGAGGGAACCUUCCAAGGAGCAUCAGUUCAGGUUGGGUGUCCAUCCAGCCUAAGAAUGGCGAUUGUCACCUCCUUCCCCACCCUUAGACAACAAGUGAGAGCUGUCACAUUCACUGCCAGCACGCUGCCACUUACCCUUUCAGCCUGUAAGUACUGAUAUAACUGUGACAAACGCAUACUCACAGGAACAGGAGAUGUAAGGAUGCAGCUGCAGAUCCUGGACCAUUACAGAUGUUUCCAACAGGCUCCUUCUGUUAUCCCUACAACCUUUCUUCUUCGCUCCCAACCAACCAUGACAUAGCGGAUUCAGCCACAUGGAAUUAAACACAUCUCACUCCCCCUCCCUCUCCCCCCCUUUUUUUUCCCCCAUUAAUUGUAUUUCAUACUGAGUUCUGAUGAGCUUUAGGUAUCUGUCCUUAUAUGAGCCAAAGGUAAUAAAAUAACAACAAGAUCCCCAAAGUACUAAUAGGGUAAUAUGUGGUGAGAGGAAGGUACCAAGUGGAAAAAGAAGCAAGGGAUAAUAUAAAGAAAAGGUAGAAAGAAAAAGGAAUGAUGAGAAGAACAGAGCGAUAAGAGCAGGAAAAAAAAAAAAAAGAAAAAAAAAAGAAAGCAAUGUAAAGUCAGAAAUAGGGGAAAGGCUAAAAGGCAAAAGGGCAGAUGGAAGAGAGAAAGAGGAGAAGAUGAAUGGGUGGGCUGAAGGAAGGCAAAGGAAGGGAAAAGCUGAGUAAGGAGGGAUGAAAGAACUCCAGAGUGAUCGGUUCUGCAGGUGCAUCUCAGCAGGUUGCCUCUGAUCGGCUCUCUCAGGGACACAGCAUGUUACCUGGACUAAUUUAUAAAGGAAAUGAAAAGGAAAUGGACUUGUUAUAAUGAACACCAUUAAUUCACCUCUUCAGACUUCACUGUUUGAACAGAGAGUAUCAAACUACUCAAUUGUCAUUUGUCUAUUCCAUUCUUCUCUGUUGCCUGUUGGAAGUGACUGGUGAGCACAUACGCCCCCGAAUGGCUGCACAGCCACUAAUUAGCAUAUAUAUUGUUUGUCCUGGUACAAAUUUAUAGCAAACAGCAAUAUUUUACACUCCAGUAAAGUUAAUAAAUGAGGCUUUAGGCUAUAAAAAUUUCAUGUUCUUUUGUGCAAAGGUCAAUUAUAAAUAGUUAAGCACAUAUUCAUCCAAAAGCUUUGGGCUCCAGCACUGGAAGAAUAAAAUAUAUUUUGAUCAGUCCACUUGCCAGCUGGACCCAUGCCUCUCGUGCAGCCUCUGAGACACCUUUCUCCAAAUGGCCAUUCAGUUGUAGAGUGCUUUUGGCCAUGAGAUGACUGAGGUCAUGCUUUAGCUUACAGGAGGAAGAUGCUGUGAAAUGUUAGAGGUACGCUAGGAUCACGCUGAGCCAGGCUAGUGGAGAUUUUAAUGGUUCGAGUUGUCCUCUCUGAGAAGCUCUGGGGCUGCAAAAUCAGAUGCGUACACUCAACGGUGCCGCUGAUGCUGUUAAGGACAAAAAGUCCUUAGGGAGAAGCUAAAACUAAGGAAUAUGAAAGCCCUUCCUCAUUUUCCAUAUGCAAAAAAUGUGGGUUUAAAGAUAUCUUUUAUUUGUAUUACGGGAACACGUAGGAGCUGCAUUGUGCUCGACGCUAUAAAUAUAUAGAAGAGAGGUGGCCUGUGUUUUAAAGGGCAUCAUCUGCAUAUGAGUGAUGGAAGGAGAGGUUCUGCAGUCACAUGCGUUAUUACUAAUAUAAUUCCUUUAUAUUACAGCUUCAACAACAAGACUAUGCUGUUAUAUGGGGUCAUAUGUGAACACAGAUAAAGACAGACGUGUCUCCUUGGGACUGAGAGCUUAUAAGACAGGGAUCAAUGAACUGGAUAUAUCUUCUUUCCAUUGCAGGUGGAGGGGAAAUGCACUGGCAUUUCCUGCAACAGCCUUCUUGAGGCUGGAGCUAUUAAAUCACAGAAAAAUUUUGAGGGAUUGUGGUGAAGCUGGCCUGUGACAAUGUGACAAGGAAAUUCAAUCAGAGGACAUGGAGAUUAUAGGAUAGACUAGACUGAGCAGGGGAUGCAAGCAGCUGCUUACUGGAAAGAGACACCGUGAACAAGAGCAUCUGAAGACUUGACACCGCAGGAGGGCUGUGCAUCCAGCGUGUCUCUGUGAAGCUUUGUUCUCAGCUACGGGACAUAUUCAGCCCCACGUAUCAUCCCUCCACUGCCCAGAGACCACAUCAGACACCACCAGCUUCAACAGAGAGAAGGAAAGCCAC